AAAACUCUUUGGAGAUGAUAUUAGUAAAAGACUUCGGGAGAUUAAUGAUGCACAAAAGAUUAACAAAACUUUCAGUUCAAAAAACUACAGAGGCCGAUCCUAUCGGCGAGGGUACCGGUUUGGUAUGUCAAACCCAAGAGGCAAUUUCAGAGGGCAGAGCCGCUACCCAAGAGGGUCAUACAGGCAACCCAUGAUGAAUUCUCAAUACAGAAGAAAAAAUUGAAGUCAGUUGCCAAGAGUCCUACAGAAAAUAGAAGAGGACAAGCUAGUGGUUUACAGGAACUGUAUGGUGGACCAGGAGGAUCAGCUAUGGUUUUUCUACGUACAUGUUAUGAUGUAUCUAGCAUUUCUGCAAGAUGAAUGGUUUUUGGACAUUCCAUUUGGUUUUUUGCAACAGGAGUUUGCUGACAUUUGGAGUUGAAUCGAACAGUUUUAGUCAAUAGCAUUAAAUUUCAAGAACGUUUGAGAUGAAGCAUAGAGAAAAUGUGAUAAUUUAAGAACAAUGAGAAAACAACAGUGUUAUUUUGUUAUAUUUGUUACAUGUGAGAGACAUUUAAAAGUGAACUUUAGAGUAUUAAUUGUUUUCUGAAGAUUGUAACAGAUUUUUGUUUUUGAACAUAAUAAAAGUUAUUAUGAA